rnacentral:lncRNA from 1 species
UUGUGAGUGACUUCAGCUGUCUCUUCAAGUGACAUCUAGCUACUUGAGAAAGGAGUGAUGACGAAAGUUCUUUGGACAGAAAACUUUCGCUGACAAGAAGGUGACAGGUCCUUGCACAGCUGGUCUCUGAUAUGCCUCAGAACGGACCCACAGAGUGACUAAUUUGAGCUUUGCAGUAGCUGGGAGGAAGUACAGGGCCCAUGCAUGCUGAGAGCUUGAAGAGGUCUGUAAGACAGGCUGGCAGUGGACACGGGCUGGAGGAACCCAUUGUUGGUGGGCAAAGGCCAGGAAACUUCGUUUGUUUAGAACAUGAGAACAUUGAACAUGUUCAUGAUUCACCUUCAGUGCUGUGAUCAUUGUUCAACUGUGCAAAAGAUUGUCACUGAGGAGUGGGAUUGUUGUGAUCUCAGGAUGUGAACUCAAAACCAAUGGAAGGAAAAAAUUGAGCUCUGGAAAUUUUUGUGGAAGAAUAAAGGCUGCCUCACAGAGGAGUGAGCUUUCUGUCAUGACAUAAUUCUACAGGUCGAGGAGUUUCGCAGACAUAACUCCUUGGGAGCAGUGCCCAGGUCAAGAAAGAAAAUGUGGCCAAUGCCCCAGGAUCUUAUUUGGUCAUCCAGGCUGGACUGCAGUGGUGUGAUCAUAGCUCACUGCAGCCUCAAACUGCUGGACUCCAGUGAUCUUCCAGCCUCAGCCUCCCCCGGUAGCAAGGACUACAGGGUCCCAGAAGGAACCAACGCUGCCCACACCUUAAUUUGAGACUUCUGGCCUCUGAGAAAUGAGAAAGAGUCUCACUCUCUGUCGCCCAGCCUGGAGUGCAGUGGCAUCAUCUGAGCUCACUACAACCUCCGCCUCCCGGGUUCAAGCGAUUCUCCUGCCUCAGCCUCCUGAGUAGCUGGGACUACAGGCACGCGCCACCACGCCCAGCUAAUUUUCGUAUUUUUAAUAGACAUGGGGUUUCACCAUGUUGGCCAGGCUGCUCUUGAACUGCUAACCUCAAGUGAUCCACCAGCGUUGGCCUCUCAAAGUACUAGGAUUACAGUGCUAGGAGCCACCAUGCCCGGCCGCCUCUCUUUUCUUUUACACAUGAAGAAAAAGUGGUCAGAGAAGUUAACUUGGUCAGUGCCAAAAGCACUGGAAGUGAGUAGGACCAAGCUUUUCAUCUAGAUUUGUUUGUUAGACUCUAAAUCCAAAUUCACAACAAGAUCAGAAUAUGAGAAACCUAAGGAACAAAAUUCUAGGAAUCAUUUCUAGAAACUGUGGCUAUUGAAAAAGCACAGACCUAGGGAAUCAAAUUAUUUUCCCUGCCACCAGCACAUGGGUAGGCCUGUGACAAAUUCCAUGCUCUGGACCCCAGAUUCCUCAGUGAGAAUAGAAGGGGCUAGAGACAUCAGGGAAUUGGAUUUGGUGACUUUAAUACCCACUCAGCUCCAAAGCAUUCUUGAAUGAUGCACGAUUUAUGAAUAUAUAUAUUGAAAUUUACUGAUGGGUGAACAGCUCUCAACAUGAGAUUUUUGUUGUAUGCCUUAAAAAAGAUUAUACAUAAAUAUGCGUGUGUGUGUGUAUGUAUGUUUCGAUGUAUAUGAACCCAUGAUCUGAAAAAUGGCCACUGUGGCUUGUGGAAACCUAUUAAUCUCUGCUGUUCCACCCAACAUCCUCAGAGAAAAAAAUAAACAACUUUUUGAAAGUGCUGCCAUGGGGUCAGACCAAAUACUGUGGCCACUUCCAAGGGGUUUGCCUUGAUUUGCCUGGAUUCCUGUUCAUGUGACAUCUGCCUUCUAAUUCAAGGAUAUGAUCAAUUCAAUGUGUGAGUUAUCAAUCAAGGACUGGCAACAGUGAUGCUGAACAAGCCUGGUGGAAGGAAAGAGAAGGCAGGCCAGAGCCCAGACAGACGCAUUCACAAACCUUACAAAGAGGACAGGCUAAUUAGGGGCUGUAGUUCUCCCUCUCUUUAUAGUUGGUAUAAGAGGAGUGGUAAUCGUAGUGUCCAAAAAUAUAUGGGCUACAUAGUUGCUUAGUAAGCUGUGGGUAUGUGGUUUCUUCUGCAAGGUGCUUUCUUUCUGAUAAAGAGAUUACGUUGUUUGUUUGUUCAUUUAUUGAACAUAUUUACACUUACACACACACACACACACACACACAAUGUUCCAGAUACCGUACUUGGCAAUGGUAGUUAGACCUUGCUCUUGCAAAAUUUAUAAUGAAGUUGGGAAGUGUGGUUUGAUCCCUCAAAGUGUCCAAAUCCUAAUCCCCAG